rnacentral:tRNA from 1 species
GUGGUGGCUCAGUGGUAGAGCGCUUGCCUAGCAUGUGAAAAGCACUGGGUUCGAUUCUCAGCAUCACA